rnacentral:misc_RNA from 1 species
UUUCCGUAGGUGAACCUGCGGAAGGAUCAUUAAAAAAUUGGACUCCAUUGGUGAGUUCAUUAAUAAUCCCUACCCUUUGUGAAUUUGUUUGUUUGUAUAAUUUUUUUUCCAAAAAAAAAAUUAUUGAAUGUCUUUCCCUGUUUUGGUGGAGCUUGUAAAGUGAAACCAGGCAGGGGAAUGGCAAACAAUAAUUAUCUUUUGAAAAAAGACCUUUUUUAAAAUUAAACUUUUUGUAUUCAUUUGUCUAAAAUUAUUUUUAUAAUAUAAAAACAACUUUUGACAAUGGAUCUCUUGGUUCUCGCAACGAUGAAGAACGCAGCAAAAUGCGAUAAGUAGUGUGAAUUGCAGAAUACGUGAAUCAUCGAAUCUUCGAACGCAUAUUGCACUUUUUUAGUUUACUAAAAAAGUAUGUCUGUUUGAGUAUCAGUAAAAUAUUCUCAUAAAAAACAUUGUUUUUUUAUGGUUAUGAGUGUUUUACAACGAUAACAAGUUGUUUCACUUUAAAUUCUUUGUUAUCAAAAAAAUCAUUAAAAGCUAAUUUUAAAGAUUUUUUAAAAUUGGAUAAAAUUUUCCCGUAAAAAGGAAUAACCUAAACAAUUUUAAAAAAUUAAAAUUGGUUUGAUUUUUUUUGAAACCCAAAGGAAAAAAAAACGAAAUUAACUUGAUCUCAAAUCAGAUAAGAGUACCCGCUGAACUUAAGCAUAUCAAUAAGCGGAGGAAAAGAAACUAACUAGGAUUCCCUCAGUAACGGCGAGUGAAGCGGGAAGAGCUCAAAUUUGAAAUCUUCAAGGUUUUACCUUGACGAAUUGUAGUUUAAAGAAGUGUUUUCUGUUGGAGUUUUGGUAAAAGUUCUUUGGAAAAGGACAUCAUAGAGGGUGAGAAUCCCGUAUUUGACCAUUAUCUCCAGCUUUGUGAUACACUUUCAAAGAGUCGGAUUGUUUGGGAAUGCAGUCCAAAUGGGUGGUAAAUUUCAUCUAAAGCUAAAUACUGGCGAGAGACCGAUAGCGAACAAGUACCGUGAGGGAAAGAUGAAAAGAACUUUGAAAAGAGAGUUAAACAGUACGUGAAAUUGCCAAAAGGGAAGCGUUUGACACCAGUGUUGUUUUCUCGAAAAUCAAUUAAAAAAGGCCGGAUUUUGUGUUGUAUUGACUUUAUCAGCUUUCUGCACUUUUUCUUGUCUUUUUUAAUGCACUUUCCGUUUAACAAGUCAACAUCAAUUUCUUUUGUUGUAAAAGGGUCAUUGGAAGGUGGCUUUCUUUUCGGAGAAAGUGUUAUAGCCUUUGGCCUCUGCAAUCGGAGAGAUUGAGGUCUGCAGCGUAGACCCUUCGGGGUUAGAUACAUUUGUGCUAAGUUAUAGCCUUUCAUAGACAACUUGUUGACUAUGAUCAGUCAUGUAGCUUACUCGCUUAUGCUAUUUUACCUACGCUUAGGAUGUUGAA